UACGGAGGGGGCAAGCGUUGUUCGGAAUUACUGGGCGUAAAGGGCUCGUAGGCGGCCAACUAAGUCAGACGUGAAAUCCCUCGGCUUAACCGGGGAACUGCAUCUGAUACUGGAUGGCUUGAGUUCGGGAGAGGGAUGUGGAAUUCCAGGUGUAGCGGUGAAAUGCGUAGAUAUCUGGAGGAACACCGGUGGCGAAGGCGGCAUCCUGGACCGACACUGACGCUGAGGAGCGAAAGCCAGGGGAGCAAACGGG
rnacentral:rRNA from 1 species